GGAUGAUAUAGCUCAAUAGGUAGAGCGACUGUAUGUGGCACAGUAGGUUCUCUGUUCGACCCAGAGUAUUUUCC
rnacentral:tRNA from 1 species